AGCGAACGCUGGCGGCGUGCCUAACACAUGCAAGUCGAACGUGAAAGGGAGUAAUCCCCCGUAAAGUGGCGUACGGGUGAGUAACACGUAGGUAAUCUACCCCAGAAUCUGGAAUAACCGGCCGAAAGGCUGGCUAAUACUGGAUAGAGCGACGGAAUCCGUAAUUGGGUUUUUCGGGAAAGGGAGCCUGUAAAAAGGCCUUCGUUCUGGGAUGAGCCUGCGUCCCAUCAGCUAGUUGGUGAGGUAAAAGCUUACCAAGGCAAUGACGGGUAGCUGGUCUGAGAGGACGAUCAGCCACACUGGAACUGAAACACGGUCCAGACUCCUACGGGAGGCAGCAGUGGGGAAUCUUGCGCAAUGGACGAAAGUCUGACGCAGCAACGCCGCGUGAGUGAAGAAGGCCUUCGGGUUGUAAAGCUCUGUCGAGUGGGACGAAAAUGCUUGGAGUUCACAGCUCCAGGAACUGACGGUACCACUAAAGGAAGCACCGGCUAACUCCGUG
rnacentral:rRNA from 1 species